UAGAACUGUGUUGGAAUGUGUGAAAAACAUUACUUAAUCCAUUGUGAUGAAUCGUUUUGAUCACUUGACCUGAUGGGAUCAAGAGUUGGCAGUGGGAGAGGUAUUCACUCUUCUCUUUGAAUGGAAUGAAAUUUUUUUACUCUUCUCAUUGAAUACUCCUCCCACUGCCAACCCUUUAUCCUGAAACAAUAGGACAUACAUUUUUGAUGGGCAGUUAAUUGUCCAAAUCAGUGGAGCAGAUUUAAGUUUUUGUGCUCGAUACAUUCCUAAUAUUGAAUAGAAUUACCUCAAGUGACCAAAAUGCUUCGUCACAGUGGGUAAUGUUUUUUCACACAUUCCAACACAGUUCUAAAACUGCUUUAUACAACAUCUUGAUUUAUCUGUUUUUUUUAAAAUACAAUCAUGACGUAUACAGUAUACUACAUAGAUAUUAUUGUUAUUGAACUUGUGCUGAAUACAAAAAAGUCAUAUGCCUUUGAAAAUACUGCCUAGAUUUGUUGAAAUUGACAACAAAAUCAGAGCAUUCCAAAAUCAUUAGUCCCAGAAAAUACCCUCAGACCCCAGAGGGUUAAGUAUGGAGCUUCUUAUAGUCGCGCUAUAAAUUCACACUUGGCUUUCAGCUGCCACUAGCCUAUAUUUAGACGAUAUAAACUAUUGUGGCACAUUACAUGUCUCUACCUGUAUUCACACAGUUAAUAAAUAAAUAAAUAAAUAAAUAAAUAAAUAAAUAGGCUUUAUAGUUAGUAUGGACACACAUACAUAAACGUGUACACUGAGUUUCUACAUAUAAUAGGGUGCUUACCUUUUUGCGAGUUAUCCAUCUGGUGCUGGCUUUCUCACAUGACUGGCCAUCAUGGCCUGAAUAUAAGGUGUUUUCUGGUGCAGGCUUGCGUGCAACAUACAUUUCCAAGCCAGGUUUAUCCACGAAACAAUUCAGUGACUGUGUCUGUAUUUUCACUGUCCUUUCGUCCACAUUUUCAUUUCUCUUGAAGAACACCAAAGACUGCAAGUUUUUUCCUUACCAUAUAAAGACAGCAAUCGGAGGCCAUCCACAUCAGAUCUGCCUGAAUAUCAACAAAUCUUCGAGUAAGUUACAUGUUGAUCCUGAGACACCAGUGAUGCUGACCUCUCCUGCUCUUCAGACCUGCCUGAUCCAUCCUGUUGGCCAACAUCUGGCUGGAGUCUCAUCACAUUGCUCCUGUGGAGGAUGGCCCCAUAUGGACAGUCAAAAGGCACACUUGGAAGAUGGCUCUGGACACCUUACAGAUUUGCUAUGAUGGCUGAGCACUACAAUUGCCAUGAUAAAUUUAGGACUGCAGUUGUCAUGAACAGUUUUGCACUCAAGUCUCCAUCAAUGAAGUUGAUAACUUCAACAAAAUAGACUUCAUGCUAAAACUAUAAUGAAUGUCCUGGUUACACAGUUGUACUUUGUGACUAUAUAGUACACAGUUAUAGAGGCAAGUUAUUUAUAAUCAUGCUAUCUGUUAUCAUCCAAAUGAAGAUGGGUUCCCUUUUGAGUCUGGUUCCUCUCAAAGUUUAUUACUUGUGUUGACUGAGGGGUUUUUUCCUUGCCAACAUUGCCUCAGGCUUGCUCUUCUUCAGAAAUAAAUAAAUUUAUUAGGGAUAAAAUUAGUUCAUGUGUUUAAAGUUUUUAAUUUUCUGUCAAGCUGGUUUGCGACAAUGUCUGUUGUUAAAAGUGCUAUACAAAUAAACUGACUGACUUGACUGUA